AUAUAACUGACGUCUGGAAUGUUCUUCAGAAACGCCCAGAGAACAACAGACAUUCCAGCUCUGCUGCUCCUGUGAGGUAAGAAACUAUACAGAAAAUCUACUAACAACCAGACAAUUCAUCUUAGAAGAUACAAAAUCCGACUGGAGGUAGAAAGCAACUUAUGGGACCCUGAGGGCAGAAAAAGUCAGACAUUAAAGGGUUUAUCUGGGAUUGAAAAACAGAGCUGAUUUCUUCCAAAAACUGGCCAUAAGAUCAUGUGGAUUUGUAUGAUAUAAUGGACUGCUGCAUAUAACAUCAGUUUGUCAUACUGGAUGGUACAAUGUGUCUGUCUGGACUAUGAGGUAAAGAAUACCAAUAGGGGAAGAAGCAUGGUGGGCUCCAUGGUGGGAAACUAGCAGAGCGUGCACUCCAAUGGAAUUCCCAGUGUCAAAAUGAUGGAUCCUCCCAAGGGAAUCAUGUGACUUCCUAAAGGAUCCUGACAGGCGACACUAAGAUGGCGCUCAGAAGUUACAUAUAUAUUUUUAACCCUAUGAUUUCUUAAAAUUUCCUUGCAGAGCUGUAUGAUGAUGCCGGUGAGUGUUCCCUGAUGUCUCUCAUAAAAUACAAUAAAAUAAAAUUUUAAUA